AGCGUACACGGUGGAUGCCUAGGCGGUAGAAGGCGAUGAAGGACGUGAUAGCCUGCGAUAAGCUUCGGCGAGGUGGCAAAUAACCUUUGACCCGGAGAUUUCCGAAUGGGAAAACCCACUCAGUUUACUGAGUAUCCUGCUUGCAGGAGGCAAACCCGGAGAACUGAAACAUCUAAGUACCCGGAGGAAAAGGAAUCAACCGAGAUUCCCCAAGUAGCGGCGAGCGAACGGGGAUUAGCCCUUAAGCAUAGAUAAGGUUAGCAAAACCCUCUGGAAAGUGGGACGGUACAGGGUGAUAGUCCCGUAUGCGAAAACCUUUUUUAUGUGAAAACGAGUAGGACGGAACACGUGAAACUCUGUCUGAACAUGGGGGGACCACCCUCCAAGGCUAAAUACUCUCUACCGACCGAUAGUGAACCAGUACCGUGAGGGAAAGGCGAAAAGAACCCCUGAAGGGGAGUGAAAUAGAACCUGAAACCGUGUACGUACAAGCAGUAGGAGCCCACUUGUUGGGUGACUGCGUACCUUUUGUAUAAUGGGUCAGCGACUUACGUUAUGUUGCGAGGUUAACCGAAUAGGGGAGCCGAAGGGAAACCGAGUCUUAAAUGGGCGACUAGUAGCGUGGCGUAGACCCGAAACCGGGCGAUCUAUCCAUGGCCAGGUUGAAGGUGCCGUAACAGGUACUGGAGGACCGAACCCACGUAUGUUGAAAAAUGCGGGGAUGAGUUGUGGAUCGGAGUGAAAGGCUAAUCAAGCCCGGAGAUAGCUGGUUCUCCUCGAAAUCUAUUUAGGUAGAGCCUCAUGUCUCACUGCCGGGGGUAGAGCACUGUUAUGGUCUAGCGGGCCGUCAAGGCUUAGCAGCCCAUUGCAAACUCCGAAUACCGGCAAGUGCAAUCAUGGGAGACAGACAUCGGGUGCUAACGUCCGGUGUCAAGAGGGAAACAACCCAGACCACCAGCUAAGGUCCCUAAACACUGCUCAGUGGGAAAGGAUGUGGGAAGGCUCAGACAGUCAGGAGGUUGGCUUAGAAGCAGCCAUCCUUUAAAGAAAGCGUAAUAGCUCACUGAUCGAGUCGGCCUGCGCCGAAGAUUUAACGGGGCUAAGCAGUGUACCGAAGCUGUGGACUCUUUUAAGAGUGGUAGAGGAGCGUCGUGUAAGCCUGCGAAGGGGAAUUGAGAAGUUUCCUGGAGGUAUCACGAGUGCGAAUGCUGACAUGAGUAGCGAUAAAGGGAGUGAAAAGCUCCCUCGCCGAAAGACCAAGGUUUCCUACGCAACGUUAAUCGACGUAGGGUUAGUCGACCCCUAAGACGAGGCCGCAAGGCGUAGUCGAUGGGAAACAGGUUAAUAUUCCUGUACUUUUUAUUACUGCGAUGGAGAGACGGAGAAGGCUAGGCCAGCUUACAGAUGGUGUAAGUUUAAGGUGGUAGGCAGAACGCUUAGGCAAAUCCGGGCGUUCAAUGUCGAGAACCGAUGACGAGCUCAUUGCGAGUGAAGUGGUUGAUGCCAUGCUUCCAAGAAAAUCUUCUAAGCUUCAGGUAAUAGGAAAUCGUACCCCAAACCGACACAGGUGGUCAGGAUGAGAAUUCCAAGGCGCUUGAGAGAACUCGGGUGAAGGAACUAGGCAAAAUGACACCGUAACUUCGGGAGAAGGUGUGCCCCUGAUGGUGAAGCACUUGCUGCGUAAGCUAUUAGGGGUUGCAGAGACCAGGUGGCUGCAACUGUUUACUAAAAACACAGCACUCUGCUAAAUCGUAAGAUGACGUAUAGGGUGUGACGCCUGCCCGGUGCCGGAAGGUUAAUUGAUGGGGUUAGGACUUGUCCGAAGCUCUUGAUCGAAGCCCCGGUAAACGGCGGCCGUAACUAUAACGGUCCUAAGGUAGCGAAAUUCCUUGUCGGGUAAGUUCCGACCUGCACGAAUGGCGUAAUGAUGGCCACACUGUCUCCACCCGAGACUCAGCGAAAUUGAAAUCGCAGUUAAGAUGCUGCGUACCCGCGGCUAGACGGAAAGACCCCGUGAACCUUUACUACAGCUUUACACUGGACUUUGACCCUACUUGUGCAGGAUAGGUGGGAGGCUAUGAAACUGCGACGCCAGUCGUAGUGGAGCCACCCUUGAAAUACCACCCUGGUAGUGUUGAGGUUCUAACCUCGGUCAGUGAAUCCUGAUCAGGGACAGUGUAUGGUGGGUAGUUUGACUGGGGCGGUCUCCUCCCAAAGCGUAACGGAGGAGCGCGAAGGUACCCUCAGCACGGUCGGACAUCGUGCAUUGAGCGCAAGAGUAAAAGGGUGCUUGACUGCGAGACAGACACGUCGAGCAGGUGCGAAAGCAGGUUCUAGUGAUCCGGUGGUUCUGAGUGGAAGGGCCAUCGCUCAACGGAUAAAAGGUACUCCGGGGAUAACAGGCUGAUACCGCCCAAGAGUUCAUAUCGACGGCGGUGUUUGGCACCUCGAUGUCGGCUCAUCACAUCCUGGGGCUGAAGUCGGUCCCAAGGGUAUGGCUGUUCGCCAUUUAAAGUGGUACGCGAGCUGGGUUUAGAACGUCGUGAGACAGUUCGGUCCCUAUCUGCCGUGGGCGUUGGAGAAUUGAGAGGGGCUGCUCCUAGUACGAGAGGACCGGAGUGGACGAACCUCUGGUGUUCGGGUUGUCACGCCAGUGGCAUUGCCCGGUAGCUAUGUUCGGGAAGGAUAACCGCUGAAAGCAUCUAAGCGGGAAACCUGCCUCGAGAUAAGUUCUCCCUGGGCUUUAAGCCCUCUGAAGGGCCGUUGA
rnacentral:rRNA from 1 species